rnacentral:rRNA from 1 species
UACAGAGGGGGCCAGCGUUAUUCGGAAUUAUUGGGCGUAAAGGGCGCGUAGGCGGCCAUGCGUGUCUUCCGUGAAAUCCCUCGGCUUAACUGAGGACGUGCGGAAGAAACUGCAAGGCUCGAGUCCGGGAGAGGGGGGUGGAAUUCCCAGUGUAGCGGUGAAAUGCGUAGAUAUUGGGAGGAACACCAGUGGCGAAGGCGGCCACCUGGACCGGUUCUGACGCUGAUGCGCGAAAGCGUGGGGAGCAAACAGG